GACGAACGCUGGCGGCGUGCCUAAUACAUGCAAGUCGAACGCAGUGGGGACGGGUGAGUAACACGUGGGUAACCUCCCAUCAGAGGGGAUAACACUUGGAAACAGGUGCUAAACCGAUACUGAUGGAUGGACCCGCGGUGCAUUAGCUAUUUGGUGAGGUAACGGCUCACCAAGGCCACGAUGCAUAGCCGACCGUGGAGGGGGAUCAGCCACACGGGGACUGAGAAACGGCCCAGACUCCUACGGAAGGCAGCAGUAGGGAAUCUUCGGCAGUGGACGAAAGUCUGACCGAGCAACGCCGCGUGAGUGAAGAAGGUUUUCGGAUCGUAAGCCUCUGUUGUUAGAGAAGCGUUAUCUAACCAGAAAGCCACUGCUAACUGCGUGCCAGCAGCGGCGGUAAUUC
rnacentral:rRNA from 1 species